rnacentral:rRNA from 1 species
GCCAGACUCCUACGGGAGGCAGCAGUGGGGGAUAUUGCACAAUGGGGGAAACCCUGAUACAGCGACGCCGCGUGGGCGAAGAAGUAUUUCGGUAUGUAAAGCCCUAUCAGCAGGGAAGAAGAAAUGACGGUACCUGACUAAGAAGCCCCGGCUAACUACGUGCCAGCAGCCGCGGUAAUACGUAGGGGGCAAGCGUUAUCCGGAUUUACUGGGUGUAAAGGGAGCGUAGACGGCAGUGCAAGUCCGGAGUGAAAGCCCGGGGCUCAACCCUGGGACUGCUCUGGAAACUGUAAAGCUGGAGUGCGGGAGGGGCAGGCGGAAUUCCUGGUGUAGCGGUGAAAUGUGUAGAUAUCAGGAGGAACACCGGCGGCGAAGGCGGCCUGCUGGACCGUAACUGACGUUGAGGCUCGAAAGCGUAGGGAGCAAACAGGAUUAGAUACCCCAGUAC